rnacentral:rRNA from 1 species
GUGUCAGCCGCCGCGGUAAUACGUAGGGAGCGAGCGUUGUCCGAAGUUACUGGGCGUAAAGCGCGCGUAGGCGGGUUAUUAAGUGAGAGGUGAAAUUCCGGGGCUCAACCCAGGAACUGCCUCUCAUACUGAUAGUCUUGAGUGAGGUAGAGAGAAGUGGAAUGGCUGGUGUAGCGGUGAAAUGCGUAGAUAUCAGUCGGAACACCGGUGGCGAAGGCGGCUUCUUGGGCCUUUACUGACGCUGAUGCGCGAAAGCCAGGGUAGCGAACGGGAUUAGAAACCCGCGUAGUCC